GGGAACUUUAGACAUUCCCUUUCUUGAGCAAGCAUGACCCAAGGCAUAGUUCUCUUGUAGGAGAUUAAAUUACAGACCCUACUCUCUAACUGAGACUCCUCAGACAUUCACUCCCUGCUCAAGGGUUCUUUAGACUUACCCUCCACGACGAAGGAGACUUAAGAGCUUACCUUUUUGUUCAUGGUGGCCUCACACAAACCCCUUCAACUAAGACUCAGGUGCUUUUCCAUCUGAUGUGGGGAUGGGGGCAUGGAACCACAAUUUUGACCGAAAAUACCACAGAGCACUCUAGAUUGCAGUUCUAUGGCAGGGGAUUAAAAUCCUCAGCCAGGGAACACAGGCCAUCUAAUUCUUAGCUGGUCACCAGUACUUAGGAGGAAUCCAUUCUUAAUGACAACACCUGUGCAGUUGAGCAUAAGCAGCUGAUAGAGAGCCAGACAGGAACAUCCAACCUACUAGAAGAAUGCUCAGAUUGCUGCGAGAUACGCAAUGGGAUUCUCGAAGAUACCAAUUUUCCUGACUUCAAUGAAGAUGUGGAAGAUGACAAGACAUUUCCUGGGACGUCUUCCUCUACAGAAGAUUACACUGAAUACAUGAACAGACACUCAGACUAUUGGAACAAUGUUGAUGUUGCUGUCUGGUCACAACCAUAUUCAACAAAAAAUAUGGAUAUUCAAAAUUCUGAAGACAAUUUUGAAGGUGACAAGAACUUCAGGGACCUUUCUCCACUGCACAAGGGAAGAUGAUGCCAAACUAAAAGCAUAACUCAGGCCCUGUGCCUUUAUCCUGGUCAACAGAAAUGGAAUGUUCCCAUCAUUUGCUUUCAGACCUGCUCAUCUGAACACAGCCUUGAGGGAUCAUCAAAAUACCCUGACUGCUGCCUGGACUCCUGAAGAUUCUACUGGGUAAUUGUAAGUGGGAAAAAUAUUUGAAAGCUAAUGAGGCAAUUCUGGAGACCUAUUCAACUCCCCAAGGUUAACUGGACCUUCAUCUUCUGCCCAAGAGAAAACUGGAUUUUCCAGUUCUGCCAAUCCUGGCCAGGGACUCUUCCUCCCUGAAUAAGGUAGUUCAGAAUGUCUCCCUUUGCCAAAUAAGCCUCAGAAGAUGUCUUUCAGACAGACCGUAUCAGAACUCUUCUCUUCCCUAGACAACUCCCAUUCUUUUUUAAAGAAAGAAUUCAUCAGAACUAAUUCAAUGUCAUAGUGAGGGUCAAUCCUUCCUCUCUUAACAAUGUGGCCUUGGACAUUAUCCUCUGACCAAAAAAGCAUAAGAACUACUGUCUUUGACCUAGGGAAUUCUGACAUUUUCUAUGUGUCUUAUGUGGUACUAAAUGUUCCCUUUUGAAUAAGAAGGCAUCAUGCCUGUACUCAUUGUCCUUUGGAUUUCCAGAGCAUCCCUUUAUUUACAUGGAAACCACAGAUCUACCACUAGCUGACAGAACCUUAAACAUUCUUACUCACUGGGAGCUGGAGUCGUGAAAUAGGAGACUAGACAAAUAUUCCUAAGGUAAAGGAACCUUAGACUACUCUGGUGUGAGGUCCCAGAGCAAGGAACUCACAUAAUCUGCCCUUAAGCUUGUCACAGGAAAUAGUGAGGACACACCCUAUGUGCCAACACCUGUGUAGCUUGAGGAGGUCACCAAGACAGAUACAGUUAACCAGCAUGUCAGAAAAAUGGUCAGAUUCCUUCAAGAACUUCAUGGAGUUUCCAAUGUAGGACUGUUUUAGACUUUGAUGAAGAGCUGGUAUCUGAGGAGGAAAAGCCCUGUCCAGGAGGCCUCAUGUUCCUCCACUGCACAAGGUUCCACUGAAGACAUCUUAAACUGAUGGAUAUAUUACACUGUGACAGAUCAUUGGAAGCUGUUGAAGAAAUGUUUAAGCCUCACAGCAGAGAAGACAGUAUGGUAGACAAGUCAACUUGUCCUCUACGUGAUCUGGGCAUUUUAACACAAACUACUAGAGAUGACAGUCGUCCAAGCUGAGUACUAAGAUUGUACCCAACGACUGAUGACUGUAAGCAAAAUAUGGAUGAGAUACACUGUAAAAUAUACUUGAAGCAAUAUUCAGUAAUGAGAUCUUCCUUCACAGAAGAAGGUCCAGAACACUGAAGACAAACCAGAGGAGAAGACCAGGACAUGAAUGGAAAUCCAGGCUGUUUUAAAAAGGCUGAGGUUGCUGCUUGGUCUCUACCGGAUUCAAAACAACCUAUGGAUAUUUAAAAUCAUGAAGACUUUGAAGCUGAUGAGCAGUGCUAGGACUUUCUCUACUUCCCAAGACCUACUCAGCUGAACCCAAACUUGCAGAGUCACCAAAUCUCAGGUCCCUCCCUCAGCCUGGUCACAAGUUCUCUGACUGCUUCCCAGGCUCCAGAAGGUGCAACUCGAGGUAUGGUAUCUGUAAAUGGGGUGAAAGGUGGAAGCUAAUGAGACUGUUCUGGAAUCUUCUUCACUAUCCAAGGUAACAUGGGUUCUUCAAGGAAAACUGGAUUAUUUCAUUUGUCAAAAUGGCCAGGCAAUUUUGCUGUAAGGAAGUUCAGAACUUUACCUUUUCCCAAAAGAACGGCACGUUGGUUUUGUAACUCAGAUCACUGCCUUACUCCUGUUUCCUUCAAUAUCUAUGUUCUAUCCUAUAUGCCCAGACCUGUUAAGAUGAACAUACUCUGGAGGAGGACACUGAGCCAAAGACUGCCAUGGAGUCUCUGAGAAGAACUUUAAGACUGUUGCCAUGCCG